UUUCUCCUCCGAUCACAAUGACACCACCAACGCCGGCGGCGGCGAUUCAUUCUCCGUCAUCUCCCCAAUACACUCAACAAUUCUUAAGCAAUGUUCUCUCCCAACGAGGUCCUUCUUCUCUCCCUUACUCCGAAGACGUAAAAUGGCUAAUCCGUCAACACCUCGUUUCGUUGAUCGACACGUGUCCUUCUCUUCAACCUAGAACCGCUACUUUCACUUACAACGACGGCAGAACUGUGAAUCUCCUUCAGGCGAACGGCACAGUUCCGAUGGUCUAUCUAGAUGCAACCUACAACAUUCCGGUCAUUAUUUGGUUACUGGAAUCUUACCCUCGUCAAUCGCCGUUGGUAUUCGUGAACCCAACGCGUAAUAUG
rnacentral:misc_RNA from 1 species